rnacentral:rRNA from 1 species
GACGAACGCUGGCGGCGUGCUUAACACAUGCAAGUCGAACGGUGAAGCGCCUUCCUUUUUGGUGGGUGUGGAUGAGUGGCGAACGGGUGAGUAACACGUGAGUAACCUGCCCCCUUCUUCUGGAUAACCGCAUGAAAGUGUGGCUAAUACGGGAUAUUCUGGGUCUGUCGCAUGAUGGGUCUGGGAAAGAUAUUGUUUCGGUGGGGGAUGGGCUCGCGGCCUAUCAGCUUGUUGGUGGGGUGAUGGCCUACCAAGGCGGUGACGGGUAGCCGGCCUGAGAGGGUGGACGGUCACACUGGGACUGAGACACGGCCCAGACUCCUACGGGAGGCAGCAGUGGGGAAUAUUGGACAAUGGGCGCAAGGCUGAUGCAGCGACGCCGCGUGAGAGAUGGAGGCCGUCGGGUUGUGAACCUCUUUCGCCAGUGAAGCAGGCCUGCCUCGUUUGUGGGUGGGUUGACGGUAGCUGGAUAAGAAGCGCCGGCUAACUACGUG